GGCGGGCGGCCUACACAUGCAGUCGAGCGGAACGAGUUAUCUGAACCUUCGGGGAACGAUAACGGCGUCGAGCGGCGGACGGGUGAGUAAUGCCUAGGAAAUUGCCCUGAUGUGGGGGAUAACCAUUGGAAACGAUGGCUAAUACCGCAUGAUGCCUACGGGCCAAAGAGGGGGACCUUCGGGCCUCUCGCGUCAGGAUAUGCCUAGGUGGGAUUAGCUAGUUGGUGAGGUAAGGGCUCACCAAGGCGACGAUCCCUAGCUGGUCUGAGAGGAUGAUCAGCCACACUGGAACUGAGACACGGUCCAGACUCCUACGGGAGGCAGCAGUGGGGAAUAUUGCACAAUGGGCGCAAGCCUGAUGCAGCCAUGCCGCGUGUGUGAAGAAGGCCUUCGGGUUGUAAAGCACUUUCAGUCGUGAGGAAGGUGGUGGAGUUAAUAGCUGUAUCAUUUGACGUUAGCGACAGAAGAAGCACCGGCUAACUCCGUGCCAGCAGCCGCGGUAAUACGGAGGGUGCGAGCGUUAAUCGGAAUUACUGGGCGUAAAGCGCAUGCAGGUGGUUUGUUAAGUCAGAUGUGAAAGCCCGGGGCUCAACCUCGGAAUAGCAUUUGAAACUGGCAGACUAGAGUACUGUAGAGGGGGGUAGAAUUUCAGGUGUAGCGGUGAAAUGCGUAGAGAUCUGAAGGAAUACC
rnacentral:rRNA from 1 species